rnacentral:rRNA from 1 species
AUUGAACGCUGGCGGCAUGCUUUACACAUGCAAGUCGGACGGCAGCACAGAGAAGCUUGCUUCUUGGGUGGCGAGUGGCGAACGGGUGAGUAAUAUAUCGGAACGUACCGAGUAAUGGGGGAUAACUAAUCGAAAGAUUAGCUAAUACCGCAUAUUCUCUGAGGAGGAAAGCAGGGGACCUUCGGGCCUUGCGUUAUUCGAGCGGCCGAUAUCUGAUUAGCUAGUUGGUGGGGUAAAGGCCUACCAAGGCGACGAUCAGUAGCGGGUCUGAGAGGAUGAUUCGCCACACUGGGACUGAGACACGGCCCCGACUCCUACGGGAGGCAGCAGUGGGGAAUUUUGGACAAUGGGCGCAAGCCUGAUCCAGCCAUGCCGCGUGUCUGAAGAAGGCCUUCGGGUUGUAAAGGACUUUUGUCAGGGAAGAAAAGGCUGUUGCUAAUACCGACAGCUGAUGACGGUACCUGAAGAAUAAGCACCGGCUAACUACGUG